rnacentral:misc_RNA from 1 species
GUGAAUCAUCAAAUUUUUGAACGCAAAUUGCACUCUCUGGUAUUCCGGAGAGUAUGCCUGUUUGAGGGUCAGUUAAAUAAAAAUCAGUCUUGUUGCUGCCUUGCGUGGUGACGCGUCGGGAUUUGAUCGUCUUACCUUCGGUUAAGUGACUUAAAAUUGUUGCAUGAUUUUCGGACGUAUUUAAAUCGCUUACG